rnacentral:lncRNA from 1 species
GGAAGAGGAACAACGAGCCUACUCCUUGGGAAGCAGAUACGACCUGUGGGUCUGUCACACAUGGGCAACGAAACCUCUGUGUGUCCUCGCCCCUGGGGCUCACCUGCUGCAGGCCCCAUUCAUCACCCGAGAGUGAAAGAAAGGACAGAGCACAGCAUGGCCAGGCCUCCAGCCCAGGGAGAGAGAAACGUUAAUGCUAAAUCAAGUUCAGAGAUUUGACUGUUACCGUGGACUAGACAUCCCAAUUACUGAGCUGGAAGUGUCUGAAUCUGAGAGUCACCAGGGGAAACUGUCUUUUACAGAAGGGAAGGCCUGCAGAAUUUCCUUCCAGUGGCAGGGGAAGGCGUCUCCUCUGAACAAUUUUAAAGGGCCAGUGGGAGAAAAAUAAAUGGUUUGUUCACACGUGUUUGUUCAACA